AUUGAACGCUGGCGGCAGGCCUAACACAUGCAAGUCGAGCGGAUGAAGAGAGCUUGCUCUCUGAUUUAGCGGCGGACGGGUGAGUAAUGCCUAGGAAUCUGCCUGAUAGUGGGGGAUAACGUUCCGAAAGGAACGCUAAUACCGCAUACGUCCUACGGGAGAAAGCAGGGGACCUUCGGGCCUUGCGCUAGCAGAUGAGCCUAUGUCGGAUUAGCUAGUUGGUGAGGGAAUGGCUCACCAAGGCUACGAUCCGUAACUGGUCUGAGAGGAUGAUCAGUCACACUGGAACUGAGACACGGUCCAGACUCCUACGGGAGGCAGCAGUGGGGAAUAUUGGACAAGGGGCGAAAGCCUGAUCCAGCCAUGCCGCGUGUGUGAAGAAGGUCUUCGGAUUGUAAAGCACUUUAAGUUGGGAGGAAGGGCAGUAAGUUAAUACCUUGCUGUUUUGACGUUACCGACAGAAUAAGCACCGGCUAACUACGUGCCAGCCGCCGCGGUAAAAC
rnacentral:rRNA from 1 species